GGUCGAUUAGCUCAGUUGGUUAGAGCGUGGUGCUAAUAACGCCAAGGUGUAAGUUAACGACAGACUCCGUCACAUGGAAAGCAAUCUAACAUUCAUAAUAGCGCGGGUUCGACCCCCGUAUUGACCA
rfam:Verruconis gallopava strain CBS 43764 unplaced genomic scaffold supercont1.14, whole genome shotgun sequence.